rnacentral:rRNA from 1 species
CCUACGGGUGGCAGCAGUGGGGAAUAUUGGGCAAUGGGCGCAAGCCUGACCCAGCAACGCCGCGUGAAGGAAGAAGGCUUUCGGGUUGUAAACUUCUUUUCUCAGGGACGAAGCAAGUGACGGUACCUGAGGAAUAAGCCACGGCAAACUACGUGCCAGCAGCCGCGGUAAUACGUAGGUGGCAAGCGUUAUCCGGCUUUACUGGGUGUAAAGGGCGGGUAGGCGGGGACGAAAGUCAGAUGUGAAAACAACGGGCUCAACCUGUGACCUGCAUUUGAAACUGUGUUUCUUGAGUACUGGAGAGGCAGACGGAAUUCCUAGUGUAGCGGGGAAAUGCGUAGAUAUUAGGAGGAACACCAGUGGCGAAGGCGGUCUGCUGGACAGCAACUGACGCUGAGGCGCGAAAGCGUGGGGAGCAAACAGGAUUAGAUACCCUUGUAGUC